GACGAACGCUGGCGGCGCGCCUAACACAUGCAAGUCGAACGGAGCUGAGAGAAGCUUGCUUUUCUUAGCUUAGUGGCGAACGGGUGAGUAACGCGUGAGUAACCUGCCCUGGAGUGGGGGACAACAGUUGGAAACGACUGCUAAUACCGCAUAAGCCCACGAUCCGGCAUCGGAUUGAGGGAAAAGGAUUUAUUCGCUUCAGGAUGGACUCGCGUCCAAUUAGCUAGUUGGUGAGGUAACGGCCCACCAAGGCGACGAUUGGUAGCCGGACUGAGAGGUUGAACGGCCACAUCGGGACUGAGACACGGCCCAGACUCCUACGGGAGGCAGCAGUGGGGGAUAUUGCACAAUGGGGGAAACCCUGAUGCAGCGACGCCGCGUGGAGGAAGAAGGUUUUCGGAUUGUAAACUCCUGUCGUUAGGGACGAUAAUGACGGUACCUAACAAGAAAGCACCGGCUAACUACGUG
rnacentral:rRNA from 1 species